GGGUGGAUUAGUGGCGAACGGGUGAGUAACACGUGAGCAACCUGCCCCGGACUCUGGGAUAAGCGCUGGAAACGGUGUCUAAUACUGGAUAUGAACAGCGACCGCAUGGUCAGUUGUUGGAAAGAUUUUUCGGUCUGGGAUGGGCUCGCGGCCUAUCAGCUUGUUGGUGAGGUAAUGGCUCACCAAGGCGUCGACGGGUAGCCGGCCUGAGAGGGUGACCGGCCACACUGGGACUGAGACACGGCCCAGACUCCUACGGGAGGCAGCAGUGGGGAAUAUUGCACAAUGGGCGGAAGCCUGAUGCAGCAACGCCGCGUGAGGGAUGACGGCCUUCGGGUUGUAAACCUCUUUUAGCAGGGAAGAAGCGAAAGUGACGGUACCUGCAGAAAAAGCACCGGCUAACUACGUGCCAGCAGCCGCGGUAAUACGUAGGGUGCAAGCGUUAUCCGGAAUUAUUGGGCGUAAAGAGCUCGUAGGCGGUUUGUCGCGUCUGCUGUGAAAUCUGGGGGCUCAACCCCCAGCCUGCAGUGGGUACGGGCAGACUAGAGUGCGGUAGGGGAGAUUGGAAUUCCUGGUGUAGCGGUGGAAUGCGCAGAUAUCAGGAGGAACACCGAUGGCGAAGGCAGAUCUCUGGGCCGUAACUGACGCUGAGGAGCGAAAGGGUGGGGAGCAAACAGGCUUAGAUACCCUGGUAGUCCACCCCGUAAACGUUGGGAACUAGUUGUGGGGUCCAUUCCACGGAUUCCGUGAC
rnacentral:rRNA from 1 species